AUACGUAGGGGGCGAGCGUUGUCCGGAAUGACUGGGCGUAAAGGGCGUGUAGGCGGCCGAUUAAGUCUGGAGUGAAAGUCCCGCUUUCAAGGUGGGAAUUGCUUUGGAGACUGGUUGGCUUGAGUGCGGAAGAGGUAAGUGGAAUUCCCAGUGUAGCGGUGAAAUGCGUAGAGAUUGGGAGGAACACCAGUGGCGAAGGCGACUUACUGGGCCGUAACUGACGCUGAGGCGCGAAAGCGUGGGGAGCGAACAGGAUUAGAUACCCUGGUAGUCCACACUGUAAACGAUGAAUGCUAGGUGUAGGGGGUAUCGACCCCUUCUGUGCCGCAGUCAACACAAUAAGCAUUCCGCCUGGGGAGUACGGCCGCAAGGUUGAAACUCAAAUGAAUUGGCGGGG
rnacentral:rRNA from 1 species